rnacentral:lncRNA from 1 species
UUCCCCUGUACUGCGGACAGAGCCUCCCCUGUACGUCCAAGGCGUCACAAUCCAUACAAUGCAAUACUUAAGGUUCCAACCCAGAACAGUAUUCAAACAAGAAUUGGAUAAGGAAGUAUCGAAAACAUAAAUACAACUAUACUAUUACAAGUAUUCAUCUCAGAUUUUACAUAUUACAUGCAUCUUACAUUUUAGUCUUCCAAAUACAAUCCAAAUUAUUACAAACUAUUGCAAUCUUAUUCUUUCCAUCACUAAACCCCUAAGCUAAGCCGACUUAGGGUACCGCUAUCUCUGGUCUCGGUGGUAGGGCACUAACUAUGGAGCUACGCCCUUGCCUCGCGCCGCCGCGCCGCUCACGUGUGAACCUGUAUCCCGAAA